UGAGCGGUUCGCGCGCGCUGAUUGGCCGGCGGGCACGUCCCCUGCGGCACGCGCUGACCUUGCCCGCGGAGCCGCAGCCAUGGUGGCGUAUUGGCGACAGGCCGGGCUCAGCUACAUCCGCUACUCGCAGAUCUGCGCCCAGGCCGUGCGGGCCGCCAUGAAGCCGCAGUACAAAGCGGAGGCCGAGAGGGCAGCGGUGGCCACGGUGAAAACGGUGAAACCCAAAAAGGAGUGAAAUUAUCUAGAGAUAAUCGGCUCCAUUCCCAGCCGUGCGAGUGGAGGGGAUUGCGGUGUGGUGCGAAUGUGCGCGGGUGUCUGUGACCUGAUUACCUGUGAGAUGGGAAACUGCCUGAUUUCAUUGGUCAGGAGCUGAUCUGUGGUGAAUAACAGCAAACUGCAAAGCUGUAGGCAAGCUCAAGACUGCAGUGUAGUGUCAUCACAUGAACUGUAGAACUUGCCUCUAUGUAAAUUGGUAUGCUAAUAAAUGUAAUUUCUGAAUGUGUG